rnacentral:rRNA from 1 species
GGAGGGUGCAAGCGUUAUCCGGAUUCACUGGGUUUAAAGGGUGCGUAGGCGGAUUGGUAAGUCCGUGGUGAAAUCCCCGAGCUUAACUUGGGAACUGCCGUGGAUACUAUCAGUCUUGAAUAUCGUGGAGGUAAGCGGAAUAUGUCAUGUAGCGGUGAAAUGCUUAGAUAUGACAUAGAACACCAAUUGCGUAGGCAGCUUACUACUCGAUCAUUGACGCUGAGGCACGAAAGCGUGGGGAGCAAACAGGAUUAGAUACCCUGGUAGUCCACGCCCUAAACGAUGGAUACUCGACAUCAGCGAUACACUGUUGGUGUCUGAGCGAAAGCAUUAAGUAUCCCACCUGGGAAGUACGACCGCAAGGUUG